rnacentral:tRNA from 1 species
UGUUCAGUGGCUUAGUUGGUUAAAGCGCCGGUUUAGCGAAUACCGUGGGAGCCGUGGGUUCAAAUCCCACCAGAACGC